rnacentral:rRNA from 1 species
AACAUAACCCUUAGCCAGACAAAUAUUAAGGGCAACGCCUGCCCAGUGAACAAUUAAACGGCCGCGGUAUCCUAACCGUGCAAAGGUAGCAUAAUCAUUUGUCUAUUAAUUGUAGACCUGUAUGAAAGGCAAAAUGAAGGUUUAACUGUCUCUUAUAAUCUAUCUAUUAAACUGAUCUCCUAGUAAAAAAGCUAGGAUGUAAACAUAAGACCAGAAGACCCUGUGAAGCUUAAACUAAAUUAUUAAACUAAAUAAUAACUACUUUCGGUUGGGGCGACCUUGGAAAUAAAAAGAACUUCCAAACAACUACACCCAUAGGCCAACUAGCCUAAUAAUCUGACCCAGUAAAUACUGAUUAUUGAAACAAGUUACUCCAGGGAUAACAGCGCUAUCUUCUUCAAGAGCCCACAUCAAAAAGAAGGUUUACGACCUCGAUGUUGGAUCAGGACAUCCUAAUGGUGCAACCGCUAUUAAGGGUUCGUUUGUUCAACGAUUAAUGUCCUACGUGAUC